rnacentral:rRNA from 1 species
GAUGAACGCUAGCUACAGGCUUAACACAUGCAAGUCGAGGGGCAGCAUGGUCUUAGCUUGCUAAGACUGAUGGCGACCGGCGCACGGGUGAGUAACACGUAUCCAACCUGCCGUCUACUCUUGGACAGCCUUCUGAAAGGAAGAUUAAUACAAGAUGGCAUCAUGAGUCCGCAUGUUCACAUGAUUAAAGGUAUUCCGGUAGACGAUGGGGAUGCGUUCCAUUAGAUAGUAGGCGGGUAACGGCCCACCUAGUCUUCGAUGGAUAGGGGUUCUGAGAGGAAGGUCCCCCACAUUGGAACUGAGACACGGUCCAAACUCCUACGGGAGGCAGCAGUGAGGAAUAUUGGUCAAUGGGCGAGAGCCUGAACCAGCCAAGUAGCGUGAAGGAUGACUGCCCUAUGGGUUGUAAACUUCUUUUAUAAAGGAAUAAAGUCGGGUAUGCAUACCCGUUUGCAUGUACUUUAUGAAUAAGGAUCGGCUAACU